rnacentral:rRNA from 1 species
AGGAUGAACGCUAGCGGCAGGCCUAACACAUGCAAGUCGAGGGGUAAGGUUCAGCUUGCUGAAUACACGACCGGCGCACGGGUGAGUAACACGUUUGCAACCUUCCUCUAACUGGAGAAUAGCCCGAAGAAAUUCGGAUUAAUACUCCAUAAAGUCAAUUUAAGGCAUCUUUUAUUGAUUAAAGCUCCGGCGGUUAGAGAUGGGCAUGCGUGUCAUUAGCUAGUUGGUGAGGUAACGGCUCACCAAGGCCACGAUGACUAGGGGGUCUGAGAGGAUGAUCCCCCACACUGGUACUGAGACCCGGACCAGACUCCUACGGGAGGCAGCAGUGAGGAAUAUUGGGCAAUGGACGCAAGUCUGACCCAGCCAUGCCGCGUGCAGGAUGACUGCCCUAUGGGUUGUAAACUGCUUUUGUUUGGGAAGAAACCCCCGAUCGUGAUCGGGGCUGACGGUACCAUACGAAUAAGCAUCGGCUAACUCCGUGCCAGCAGCCGCGGUAACACGGAGGAUGCAAGCGUUAUCCGGAUUCAUUGGGUUUAAAGGGUGCGCAGGCGGAAUAUUAAGUCAGUGGUGAAAUCCUGCAGCUUAACUGUAGAACUGCCAUUGAUACUGAUAUUCUUGAAUAUAGUUGAGGUGGGCGGAAUGUGUAAUGUAGCGGUGAAAUGCUUAGAUAUUACACAGAACACCAAUUGCGAAGGCAGCUCACUAAACUAAUAUUGACGCUGAGGCACGAAAGCGUGGGUAGCAAACAGGAUUAGAUACCCUGGUAGUCCACGCUGUAAACUAUGAUCACUCGCUGUUGGCAAUACAUCGUCAGCGGCUGAGCGAAAGCAUUAAGUGAUCCACCUGGGGAGU